rnacentral:rRNA from 1 species
CCUACGGGAGGCAGCAGUGGGGAAUAUUGGACCAUGGGGGGAACCCUGAUCCAGCGACGCCGCGUGAGUGAAGAAGUAUUUCGGUAUGUAAAGCUCUAUCAGCAGGGAAGAAAGAAAUGACGGUACCUGACUAAGAAGCCCCGGCUAACUACGUGCCAGCAGCCGCGUGAAUACGUAGGGGGCAAGCGUUAUCCGGAUUUACUGGGUGUAAGGGGAGCGUAGACGGCGAUGCAAGUCUGAAGUUAAAGGCGGGGGCCCAACCCCCGGACUGCUUUGGAAACUGUAUGGCUGGAGUGCAGGAGAGGUAAGUGGAAUUCCUAGUGUAGCGGUGAAAUGCGUAUAUAUUAGGAGGAACACCAGUGGCGAAGGCGGCUUACUGGACUGUAACUGACGUUGAGGCUCGAAAGCGUGGGGAGCAAACAGGAUUAGAUACCCCAGUAGUC